UAGCCAUAGACUGUAGUCUACGAUCUAGCGCUUGAUAAAUAACGGCUAAUGUCGCCAGUUGGAAGUUCAAGACAAUAGUAACAUUUACUCUCUGGAGGUCCACCAGGGCCCGCCCACCACUUUUUGAGGUCCAAGACAGAAUUUGGGACUGGGACCCAGAGUGAAGCUGAUGUCGUCUUGUGAAUCUAAACAAGGCCUCUCCGGUUGCUAAGGUGGGCCUGAGGCUCCCUGGCAGCCGAGAACACCUCCGGGCCCCAGAGCUCUGUGACGCGCUGGGAAUUCCCCAGGGCCUGCAUCUCCUACCA